CACCUGCCACGGUGCAGUCCAGUUUUCUUGACACUUUGGUGGUUCGUCGUCAUUUGGCUGAAUAGAAGAGUUGCUGUCUCAACCUCCAAAUAUUGCACGACUAACUACUGGCGGAAAAAUUGUAGUCGAAGAAGUUGAGAUUUCAUGUUGUUGGAUACUGACUGUUGCAGAUCCUGUGACCUCGUUAGUUCAAUUGCUUGCUUCUCUACAAUCAAUAGUUGUAAAUAUUUAUAUUCAUAUGCACCUCUAACAAAGAAUAUGGUCAAUAAGAGUAUCUAUUUCUUGAUGGCUGAACGAUUAAACAGAUCGAACUUUGCUUGUGAAUGGGAGCAGUCAUAAUCCCGGAUGGAGAAAUCAGAAGACAACUCAGGAGUACCUUCCAUCCGAGUGUUCCCAAUGUCAUCUUUCGUAUUAGUCAAGGCAGGAAGCAAAUCCAUCCCAGCGGCAUGUUCUAGUUAUUCACAGUGCACGAACUUGGUCAAGAAACUAACGGUGCUUUGCAGGAAACGUAGCAAUUUCAUGGAUGUAGGUAAUCAAUUAUAGGCAAAUUGGAUGGUGUAAAUGUCGCAUGCAUUG